GAUGAACGCUAGCUACAGGCUUAACACAUGCAAGUCGCGGGGCAGCAUGGGGUUUGCUUGCACUCCCCGAUGGCGACCGGCGUACGGGUGAGUAACGCUUAUCCAACCUGCCCUUCACCACGGGAUUACCCGGCGAAAUUCGGACUAAUACCGUAUGUCGUCCAUUUACGGCCUCCGAUUUGGACGUUCGGUUUGGCGCUGAAGGAUGGGGAUGCGUUCGUUUAGUUGGACGGCGGGGUGACGGCCCACCGUGGCGACGAUCGGUAGGGGUUCUGAGAGGAAGAUCAACAACACUAGAACUGAGACACCGUAAAGACUGCUACGGGAGGCAGAAGUGAGGAAUAUUGGUGAAUGGGCGUAAGCCUGAACCAACCAAGUAGCGUGCAGGAUGACGGCCAAAUGGGGUGUAAAAUGCUUUUAGGCGGGGAGAAAGUGGCCCACGGGGGGGAUUUUGCAGGUACCGCAUGAAUAAGGACCGGCUAAUUCCGUG
rnacentral:rRNA from 1 species